UCCGCUCAGCGGGCUGCACAGGCCCGUGUUGUGUUUUCCUGUCAAUUUGCUCAGCACCAGGGCAGGACCGGUGACAGAGCUUCGGGUUCGAAGAUUAGUAGGCUACUGAUAUUUUAAAAAUAACUUUUCAGAAACGAUCGUAAUAGAAAACCUUAGAAAAUUCACCUAAAUACAAAGAAAAAAAACUUUGCAUGGUCAUUAUCCAACUACCCAAAGCUAACGACUACGAGCCUCUGGUCUCCGGUCACUCCAGAGACCGUUUCGUAUGAGCAUGUGCGUGUGCAUGUGCAUGUGCACGUGUGUGUGCACGUGUGUGUGCACGUGCGCACGUGCGGGUGCUGGAUCCCGUAGUGUUCAACUACUUCCAUUGAUCAGAAUGCUAUUAAAUAGUUUUCUGUGAUUUCACUUUUUUGCUGCAAAACGUUUAUUUCCCUUUGGACGCAGUCUAGCCUCCUGCAGUUGGAUAUUUAGUUACUUCUGUUUUUUCAGAGUUUUACCAAAUCUGUAAUAAAGAUCUUGGCCACUAAAUCUUUGCCUGAGCACAUGACUAUUUCUUCAGAAAAACAUUUCUAUUACACUUUUGGGUAAUGGUAGACAGAGGGUAGUAAUUAAUUACCGAGACAUAGGGAUAUACUAUACGGAUAUUCAUUAACUAGGAAAACCCAAGUUUAAGUCUCCCAGUCACAUUCCAAGGCCAGCGGUCCCUGGGACCAGCCUGCCCUCCCCCUGUGCCGGGGCCGUGGCAGCUGGUUCUGAGGCCCAGGGAGCCUGGCCUGACGUCCUUCCCCCCCACCCCCUCUCUGCCUCUGCAGGUGUCUGCUCUUCCCAGCCGGCAGGGGGGCGCCAUGUGCCAGGCGUCGCUGUCAUUCAGAGAUGUGGCCGUGGGCUUCACCCAGAAGGAGUGGCAACAGCUGGACCCUGUGCAGAGGACCCUGUACCGGGACGUGAUGCUGGAGAACUACAGUCACCUGGUCUCAGUGGGGUGUCAAGCCACCAAACCAGCUGUGAUCUCCAGGCUGGAGCU